AUACCAUGACGCAGACACUUCCUUAACAACUCCUUGAAUCUCUCCCAUGCAUCAUAGAAUGAUUCCCCUUCAGUCUGAUAGAAAUUAUUGAUCUCCCCUCUCAACUU